UACAGAGGGUGCGAGCGUUAAUCGGAAUUACUGGGCGUAAAGCGCGCGUAGGCGGCUUUGCAAGUCGGGUGUGAAAUCCCCAGGCUUAACCUGGGAACUGCAUUCGAGACUGCAUUGCUAGAGUAUGGGAGAGGGAAGUAGAAUUUCCGGUGUAGCGGUGAAAUGCGUAGAUAUCGGAAGGAACAUCAGUGGCGAAAGCGACUUCCUGGACCAAUACUGACGCUCAUGUGCGAAAAGCGUGGGGAGCAAACAGG
rnacentral:rRNA from 1 species